rnacentral:rRNA from 1 species
AAUCAAGCGUUUUAAGAGCAUCUGGUGGAUGCCUUGGCGCCAAGAGGCGAUGAAGGACGUGGUACGCUGCGAUAAGCCGUGGGAAGUUGCGAACAAUCUUUAAUCCACGGAUUUCCGAAUGGGGAAACCCGGCCCUUUAGGGUCAUCACAUGACGAAUACAUAGUCAUGUGAAGCAAACCCGGAGAACUGAAACAUCUCAGUACCCGGAGGAAAGGACAUCAACAGAGACUCCCUUAGUAGCGGCGAGCGAACGGGGACCAGGCCAGUGGCCUUUGUUAACUAACCGGAAGUGUCUGGAAAGGCACGCCAUAGUGGGUGAUAGCCCCGUACGGGUAAACGAACAAAGGUCCUUGAGUAGGGCGGGACACGUGAAAUCCUGUCUGAACGUGGGGGGACCACCCUCCAAGCCUAAGUACUCCUUGGCGACCGAUAGUGAACUAGUACCGUGAGGGAAAGGUGAAAAGCACCCCGAUGAGGGGAGUGAAAUAGACCUGAAACCGGAUGCUUACAAGCAGUGGGAGCCUUAGGGUGACCACGUACCUUUUGUAUAAUGGGUCAGCGAGUUGCUCUUGCGAGCAAGCUUAAGCCGUUAGGUGUAGGCGUAGCGAAAGCGAGUCUGAAUAGGGCGUCAUAGUUCGUAGGAGCAGACCCGAAACCCGGUGAUCUAGCCAUGGGCAGGUUGAAGGUGCGGUAACACGCACUGGAGGACCGAACCCACCUAUGUUGAAAAAUGGGGGGAUGACCUGUGGCUAGGGGUGAAAGGCCAAUCAAACCGGGAGAUAGCUGGUUCUCCGCGAAAUCUAUUUAGGUAGAGCGUCGAGUGAAUACCUUCGGGGGUAGAGCACUGGAUGGGCUAGGGGGGCGCGAGCCUUACCAAACCUAACCAAACUCCGAAUACCGAAGAGUACUGCUCGGCAGACAGACCAUGGGUGCUAAGGUCCUUGGUCGAAAGGGAAACAGCCCUGACCGCCAGCUAAGGUCCCUAAGUGAUGACUAAGUGGGAAAGGAUGUGGGAAGGCCAAGACAACCAGGAGGUUGGCUUAGAAGCAGCCACCCUUGAAAGAAAGCGUAACAGCUCACUGGUCUAAUAGCCGUCCUGCGCCGAAGAUGUAACGGGGCUAAAGUCAUCCACCGAAGCUGCGGGUGCACACUUAUGUGUGCGCGGUAGCGGAGCGUUCUGUAAGUCUGUGAAGGGUAGCCGUGAGGGUGCCUGGAGAUAUCAGAAGUGAGAAUGCUGACAUGAGUAGCGACAAAGAGUGUGAGAGACACUCUCGCCGAAAGUCCAAGGGUUCCUGCGCAAGGCUAAUCCGCGCAGGGUGAGCCGGCCCCUAAGCCGAGGGCGAAAGCCGUAGGCGAUGGGAACCAGGUUAAUAUUCCUGGGCCUGUUGGGAAGUGACGAACGUUGAUAGUUGUUCUGGCUUAUCGGAUUGUUCAGAGCAGCGUAGAUGUUCCAGGAAAUAGCCCCAACAAUAGACCGUACCCCAAACCGACACAGGUGGACAGGUAGAGUAUACCAAGGCGCUUGAGAGAACGAUGUUGAAGGAACUCGGCAAAAUACACCCGUAACUUCGGGAUAAGGGUGACCUCCUAUUGGGCAACCGAUAGGGGGUGGCACAGAAGAGGGGGUGGCGACUGUUUACUAAAAACAUAGGGCUCUGCGAAGCCGUAAGGCGACGUAUAGGGUCUGACGCCUGCCCGGUGCUGGAAGGUUAAGGAGAGGGGUGCAAGCUCUGAACCGAAGCCCCAGUAAACGGCGGCCGUAACUAUAACGGUCCUAAGGUAGCGAAAUUCCUUGUCGGGUAAGUUCCGACCUGCACGAAUGGCGUAACGACUUCCCCGCUGUCUCCAACAUCGACUCAGCGAAAUUGAAUUCUCCGUGAAGAUGCGGAGUACCCGCGGUCAGACGGAAAGACCCCGUGCACCUUUACUACAGCUUUGCAGUGGUAUUAGGAUUGAUAUGUGUAGGAUAGGCGGGAGACAUUGAAACCAUGGCGCCAGUCAUGGUGGAGUCACCCUUGAAAUACCGCCCUUGUUGUUUCUGAUAUCUAACCGCGUUCCGUGAAUCCGGGACCGGGACCCUGCAUGGUGGGUAGUUUGACUGGGGCGGUCGCCUCCCAAAGAGUAACGGAGGCGCGCGAAGGUGGGCUCAAGCUGGUCGGAAAUCAGCUGUUGAGUGCAAUGGCAUAAGCCCGCCUGACUGUGAGGCCGACAGGCCGAACAGAGACGAAAGUCGGUCAUAGUGAUCCGGUGGUCCCGAGUGGAAGGGCCAUCGCUCAACGGAUAAAAGGUACGCCGGGGAUAACAGGCUGAUGGUUCCCAAGAGUUCACAUCGACGGAACCGUUUGGCACCUCGAUGUCGGCUCAUCACAUCCUGGGGCUGAAGCAGGUCCCAAGGGUUCGGCUGUUCGCCGAUUAAAGUGGUACGUGAGCUGGGUUUAGAACGUCGUGAGACAGUUCGGUCCCUAUCUGCCGUGGGUGUUCGAGACUUGAGAGGAGCUGCCCCUAGUACGAGAGGACCGGGGUGGACGUACCUCUGGUGUACCGGUUGUGGCGCCAGCCGCACCGCCGGGUAGCCAAGUACGGAAAGGAUAACCGCUGAAAGCAUCUAAGCGGGAAGCCUCCCUCAAAACCAGGUCUCGCCUGAGAGUCGUGGAAGACCACCACGUCGAUAGGCCAGGUGUGGAAGCGUGGUAACACGUGAAGCUAACUGGUACUAAUAACUCGAUUGGCUUGAUUUC